GCGGAAUUAGUACAGUGGCAGUACAUCAGCUUCCCAAGCUGAGGACGCCGGUUCGAUCCCGGUAUUCCGCUCAA
rnacentral:tRNA from 1 species